CCUACGGGAGGCAGCAGUGAGGAAUAUUGGUCAAUGGCCGAGAGGCUGAACCAGCCAAGUCGCGUGAGGGAAGAAUGUCCUAUGGAUUGUAAACCUCUUUUGUCAGGGAGCAAAGUCACCCACGUGUGGGUCUUUGAGAGUACCUGAAGAAAAAGCAUCGGCUAACUCCGUGCCAGCAGCCGCGGUAAUACGGAGGGAGCAAGCGUUGUCCGGAAUUACUGGGCGUAAAGGGCGCGUAGGUGGGCGCUGAAGUCAGGUGUGAAAACUCCGGGCUCAACCUGGAGACUGCACUUGAAACUGGGUGUCUUGAGGGCAGGAGAGGAAAGUGGAAUUCCUAGUGUAGCGGUGAAAUGCGUAGAUAUUAGGCGGAACACCAGUGGCGAAGGCGACUUUCUGGACUGUACCUGACGCUGAGGCGCGAAAGCGUGGGUAGCGAACGGGAUUAGAUACCCGUGUAGUC
rnacentral:rRNA from 1 species